rnacentral:siRNA from 1 species
UACAGAUAAAAUUGAUGGCA